CGUGUCAGCAGCCGCGGUAAUACAGAGGGUGCAAGCGUUGUUCGGAAUUAUUGGGCGUAAAGAGCGCGUAGGCGGUCUUCUAAGUCUGGUGUGAAAGCCCUCGGCUUAACCGAGGAAGUGCAUUGGAUACUGGAAGGCUUGAGUGUGAGAGAGGAUUGUGGAAUUCCUGGUGUAGCGGUGAAAUGCGUAGAUAUCAGGAGGAACACCGGUGGCGAAGGCGGCAAUCUGGAUCAUAACUGACGCUGAGGCGCGAAAGCGUGGGUAGCAAACAGGAUUAGAUACCCUGGUAGUCCACGCCGUAAACGAUGGGUGCUAGGUGUUGCAGGCUUCAACCCCUGCAGUGCCGCAGCUAACGCAUUAAGCACCCCGCCUGGGGAGUACGGUCGCAAGACUAAAACUCAAAGGAAUUGACGGC
rnacentral:rRNA from 1 species